rnacentral:rRNA from 1 species
AUUGAAGAGUUUGAUCAUGGCUCAGAUUGAACGCUGGCGGCAGGCCUAACACAUGCAAGUCGAGCGGUAGCACAGAGAGCUUGCUCUCGGGUGACGAGCGGCGGACGGGUGAGUAAUGUCUGGGAAACUGCCUGAUGGAGGGGGAUAACUACUGGAAACGGUAGCUAAUACCGCAUAACGUCGCAAGACCAAAGUGGGGGACCUUCGGGCCUCAUGCCAUCAGAUGUGCCCAGAUGGGAUUAGCUGGUAGGUGGGGUAACGGCUCACCUAGGCGACGAUCCCUAGCUGGUCUGAGAGGAUGACCAGCCACACUGGAACUGAGACACGGUCCAGACUCCUACGGGAGGCAGCAGUGGGGAAUAUUGCACAAUGGGCGCAAGCCUGAUGCAGCCAUGCCGCGUGUGUGAAGAAGGCCUUCGGGUUGUAAAGCACUUUCAGCGGGGAGGAAGGCGGUGAGGUUAAUAACCUCACCGAUUGACGUUACCCGCAGAAGAAGCACCGGCUAACUCCGUGCCAGCAGCCGCGGUAAUACGGAGGGUGCAAGCGUUAAUCGGAAUUACUGGGCGUAAAGCGCACGCAGGCGGUCUGUCAAGUCGGAUGUGAAAUCCCCGGGCUCAACCUGGGAACUGCAUUCGAAACUGGCAGGCUAGAGUCUUGUAGAGGGGGGUAGAAUUCCAGGUGUAGCGGUGAAAUGCGUAGAGAUCUGGAGGAAUACCGGUGGCGAAGGCGGCCCCCUGGACAAAGACUGACGCUCAGGUGCGAAAGCGUGGGGAGCAAACAGGAUUAGAUACCCUGGUAGUCCACGCUGUAAACGAUGUCGAUUUGGAGGUUGUGCCCUUGAGGCGUGGCUUCCGGAGCUAACGCGUUAAAUCGACCGCCUGGGGAGUACGGCCGCAAGGUUAAAACUCAAAUGAAUUGACGGGGGCCCGCACAAGCGGUGGAGCAUGUGGUUUAAUUCGAUGCAACGCGAAGAACCUUACCUGGUCUUGACAUCCACAGAACUUUCCAGAGAUGGAUUGGUGCCUUCGGGAACUGUGAGACAGGUGCUGCAUGGCUGUCGUCAGCUCGUGUUGUGAAAUGUUGGGUUAAGUCCCGCAACGAGCGCAACCCUUAUCCUUUGUUGCCAGCGGUUAGGCCGGGAACUCAAAGGAGACUGCCAGUGAUAAACUGGAGGAAGGUGGGGAUGACGUCAAGUCAUCAUGGCCCUUACGACCAGGGCUACACACGUGCUACAAUGGCAUAUACAAAGAGAAGCGACCUCGCGAGAGCAAGCGGACCUCAUAAAGUAUGUCGUAGUCCGGAUUGGAGUCUGCAACUCGACUCCAUGAAGUCGGAAUCGCUAGUAAUCGUAGAUCAGAAUGCUACGGUGAAUACGUUCCCGGGCCUUGUACACACCGCCCGUCACACCAUGGGAGUGGGUUGCAAAAGAAGUAGGUAGCUUAACCUUCGGGAGGGCGCUUACCACUUUGUGAUUCAUGACUGGGGUGAAGUCGUAACAAGGUAACCGUAGGGGAACCUGCGGUUGGAUCACCUCCUU